GAGCACGGACAAGGAACGCGGGAUACUCGUGCCUUCGUUCUCCGUCUGAGGUGUGCUCCGGCUCCCAGCACAAGACUCCAGCCCGCUUUCCGCACAAACCUGUUGGCUUCGCACCUGGUUCCGAGGGGCAAGGUGCACCGUCAUUCCCCGAACACCUCGCGACCGGACGGGCUCUCGAACCGGAGGGCUUUCGAGCGGGUCGUUCGCUAUUUCCCCCCCGCGAGCCACAGAAAACACGAGGCGGAGCCGGCGGCGGAGGGGCAAGCGGCCCGCUCUCGGCGCGGUGACCCCGCGGGCACGGGGAGGGCAGAGCCGGGAGGGGACAGAGGGCACAGCCUCGCGGGGGCACGCGGGCCAAGCGCACGGCCCCGCGGUAACGGCCCUCCCCCUCCGGCCCUCUCCCGCAGCCCCGCCGCACCGACGACCUUCGGGGCCCCGCCAGCGGCCCCCGCCGCCGUCUCCAGGGCCCAGGCCGCCAUAGGAGGAGCGAAAAGGCGGAGGGAGGGGAGGAAGGGGACCCACCACACCCCGCCGGGCCGGCCCCAUCCCCGCAGCCCUGCCCGAGCGCAGCCCGGCAACUUACGGCGUCUCCUCGGGCCGCCGCGCCCCGCGCCGCCCUCUGCAUGGGCAGCGCCCGCCGCAACCGCCCAGGGGACGGGGAACGCGGCGAGGCGGGAGAGAAAGGCUCGGAGACGGCGGCGGGAAGCUCGGCCGGGCCGCGGGGCUCGGGGAGGACGGCUGCGGCAACUCGUGCCCCGCGCCGGGCGGACUGACGGACGCUCAGCCGGGCCGCGCCGCUGCGGCGGCUCCGAGACGCGACUGACAACAACGGCCGCGGAUCGCGGAAAGCCGGGGGGGGGGCGGGGGCGGGGCCUACGGACACCCGCGCGAGCCCGAGAGGCGGGCGCACCGCGCCUGCGCGGAGGGGAGGCGGUGCGAUUGGCGUCACGGCGGCCCAAUGGGAGGAGGGCGGGCGCGUCGGGCGGGGAGAGGCCGCCUGAGGGGAAAGCGGAGCGGGGCGGUUCGGGGAGCGAGCGGCUCGGGGAACGUGGGGUUUCUUCCCUUCUUGCCCAUCUCGGGCUCUCGUUUCUUAACAUCAGCCCUGGAUAUGGCCAAAACAAGAAGGGAACGAGAUGA
rnacentral:lncRNA from 1 species